UUCGAACCUGCGACUGUAGCAAUAGGGCGGUUCCGAACUGAAGCGCCUAUAGCCGCUCGGCCACCGCGGGCGGCUAAGAAGACCGGCUGUGUGCCGAACACGUUCGGAACAGAAUACGAGAUGCAACGCUUGGGUGUCAGCAGAUGGCACUGCGACGUCCCACAGACCCUGAGAAAAUGCGGUGAAUCGCCACACCUAUUCCGCCGUGACCACGUAAGGAGUUGCCGUGAAACCACACUCCGCCAUCCAAGAAAACAAGCUAACGAAGAGUACUAAAGUCAACUGUUCAGUACUAAUCUAUGCUGUUCGGUGUCUUCACGAUUCUGAUGUCACUCGAGAAAUCCCUUCAGGGGUUUACAGGUUCUCCUGACAAUACGGAUCACUUUGUGUCGUGUCUGGGAUACAACUACUACUUACAGAGGAGGUGCCGCAACCUGUCUUAAUGGUGUUUAAUGGGAUAUAUGUGACUGCAAAUAUGUGGUCUGCUCUUGUGGUCCUGUUUCAUGGAAUAUAUAUUUUAUCUGGUCAGCGGUCAUUUAUGCAGCAUCCUCGUCGUUUACCUAAGCUGAAGCACAAGCCAGCGCCGCGUGACAGUGGAAGAACACCUUCGGUUGUAGAACUUCUUGGCCAAAUGCAGCGCUCGUUAUUUCUACAAAGUUCCAGUCCAUCAGCCUCGUACUGUCUCCGGGCAUAGUGCUGAGGCUGGAUGGCUCCCGUCAGCAUAUUUUGAUGACCAGCUAUGAAGAAUGUUACUACGAAACAGUCAUGAGUGCAACACAGACUGGUCGAGGAGCAACGGUAGUACAAGGUGUGCAGUAACUUGACGCAUCUGCUGCAGACGGCAGAUGAGACAUCCUUUUCCAGCUGCGAACAGUGGGAGAACUUUUGUGUUCCCUCCGUUAUCCCUCAUUUCAGAUUAUCCACCAUGAAGGAUCAACAAUGACACCACCGGGCAGUGAUCGAAUUCCUUCACUAAUCUGAGAAUAGCUCAAAAUACAUCGAGUCACGGUAAUUUGCUGUCAUUCUGCGUGGGAGAGAGCAGAUCUAUGUAAUGUGGUUCCAUGGUUCACAGUUUAGAUCUCAGUCAUUGCAUCACGGCCAGCCGUGUUGAGAUAGCAAGAAGCUGAAAACCACUGAAAACGCGUUGAAAAGUAAGAAACAAUUCACAAAUGAAAUCUGUAUCAUCGCGAGACACUCAUGUAGAAUGCAAG